UGCAAAUUUGGGCUGUUGGGCCGAAAAUUUAAAUGUUAGUAAUCUUGGGCCGCUUAGAGUGCCGAACUUAUGACCGUUGGGUGAACACUUGGGCUGAAGUAAAAGGAAGGGUAGGACACUAGGGUUCGAGAGACGCCUGUCGGGCGCCUUCUCCCUUCCCCUCUCUUUCGCUUGCCACCGAGGGUUUCAUUUGGAGAAGGCGAAUUGACGGUGCAUAUUGACGGGUGAAAAGCGGUCGGGUGGGAAAUGAGGCAGACGCAUCUGGCCCCAUGGUUAGGUCCUCGUACAAGGCGGGCGAGUACUACAUCAAAUCCAUGAUAGAAUCUGAUCGAGCAACAUCUUCUACAUAGCGCUGAACAUCUCUGAUGAUCGCUCUUGAACAAGCUCGCGGCUUAGCUUCAAGAUCUCGAUAAGUGUUACUGUUUUGGGCUGCUUCGGGCUCUGUUGUCAACUCCCUUUCAUCGUGGAAUCAGAUUGAAGGAACAAACCAGAGAUCUGAUCGGAGGAAGCAAGCCGGAUCGAUUAACAGGAAGAUAAAUCCACUACUCCUGUCCGGACGAGCAAUUGAGUUGUCUUCACCCUCCCAAGAGCAUCUGUAUCAACUCACAUUUGAUUUUUCAUUGCGCUCUCCACUGAUUCGUGGGCAUGGGAAUUUUGGCUCUAUUGAUGCGGAUCCUGCUGCAGCAAUGUGUUACACAGAGUGCAGGCUGGAGGCACUCACGGAGGCCAUGUUAUUGGCAGAUUUGGAGCAAGAUACGGUUGAUUUUGUUCCAAACUUUGAUAAUUCACAAAAAGAACCAUCUCUGCUUCCUGUUCGCAUCCCCAACUUGCUAUUAAAUGGUUCUUCAGGGAUUGCGGUUGGAAUGGCUACCAAUAUUCCACCGCAUAAUCUUGGGGAGUUGGUAGAUGCACUUUCCGUGCUGAUUCACGAUCCCGAUGCAACGUUGCAAGAAUUGCUUGAGUACAUGCCUGGACCUGACUUCCCAACUGGAGGAAUCAUAAUAGGAAAUAUUGGUAUUUUGGAUGCAUAUCGAACUGGACGAGGGCGGGUGGUGGUCAGAGGGAAGACUGAUAUCGAGUUGCUGGAUCCCAAGAGCAAGCGCUUGGCAAUUAUAAUAAAAGAGAUUCCAUAUCAGACCAACAAAGCUUCCCGUGUUGAGAAAAUUGCUGAACUCGUGGAAAAUAAGAAUUUGGAGGGAAUAAGUGACAUACGCGAUGAGAGUGAUCGAUCUGGGAUGCGCAUUGUUAUUGAGCUCAAGAGAGGAUCAAAACCCUCCAUUGUCUUGAAUAAUCUGUAUUUUCUCACGGCUCUGCAGUCAGCAUUUAGCUGUAACAUGGUGGGAAAUAUAUUAAAUACAAGGAUGGCAGCCACAGAUUCAGUUCUUGGAUUUGCCUGGAACAAGGAGUUUAGGUGUAAUAUUAAUCUUUUGCUAUCCACACUUGCAACACACGUUCGAUUCAAACUCGUGGAGGGUUAAUUGUCAAAGUAGGCCGUCGGGGGCACUACACAAAUCACAUUCUGCGAAUUGCACGAAUUACACUACUUACACGAAUCAAAGCCACUCUCUCUAGAACAACGUCCCAAGUUCUUUGCUGUGAAACUCCGCCUUGUUGGAUAUCGGAAGACUCGAGGUUAGGCUAAUUGAAAUUGGUGCCCUUAUCAUGGCUUCUGAUGUGUAGAUAUGGCUCAGUUGAAAACUUGAAAGAGACUAACAAUGGGACAAGGACUGGGAGAUUUUCCAAAUCUCCAUCAACUGACCCCUAUUUGCUUGUUCUAGUCAUUGAUGACUUUAAGGGGGACUUCUGAUUCGAUGCACUAUUUCGAAACUUGGUUAACGAGCUGUUACUAUGGCCAAUGGUCAUUUGAAUGCAGCAAAAGAAGCCCAAGUGCCAUGGAAUAUGUUUUUCCAGAAGUUGAUUUUCUAUUAUCUUUGUUUAAGAAUUCAUGUAUGCAGUUGGUUAGUCUUAGGAAACAGGUGAAUCUUUCAACUAAUUUCCUUUCAGUGUUCUGCUAUUCACUAGAUGAUCUCCCUAAUAUUGAUGUUUGUUCUCAGAUUGAUCAGAAACUCUAGAAUGAUAAAACUGAAAUUUCUGCUCAAGACUCUAAGCAUCGGAAGACGC